CUUCACCCCCCCCCUUUUACUCCUCUUCAAUUUUUUGUUGAACAAAAAGAAGAAAACAAAAGGAAGACAGGAGAAAGGGAGGGGGGCGAAG